rnacentral:rRNA from 1 species
AAUGAACGCUGGCGGCAUGGCUAAAGCAUGCAAGUCGAACGAGAACCGGCUUCGGCCGGGGACAGUGGCGAAAGGGCGAGUAAUGGUAUCGAAUGUACCCCGAGGUGGGGGAUAGGUCGGGGAAACCUGGCGUAAUACCCCAUGAUCUCUUCGGAGCAAAGGUUUACCGCCUUGGGAGCAGCGAUACUCCUAUCAGGUUGUUGGUGAGGUAAAGGCUCACCAAGCCAGAGACGGGUAGCGGGUGUGAGAGCAUGACCCGCCGCAUCGGGACUGAGACACUGCCCGGACUCCUACGGGAGGCUGCAGCGACGAAUAUUCCGCAAUGCGCGAAAGCGUGACGGAGCAAUGCCGCGUGUGGGAUGAAGCGGUUUCGCCGUGUAAACCACUGUCAGGGUACAGGAAGAUCUGACCAUACCCAAAGGAAGGGCCGGCUAACCUCGUG